ensembl:snRNA U2 U2 spliceosomal RNA
AUCGCUUCUCGGCCUUUUGGCUAAGAUCAAGUGUGGUAUCUGUUCUUAUCCAUUUAAUAUACAGCAGGAAAUAUAUAUUGGAUAAUUAAAAUAUGUUAGGUAAUAUGGCAAGCACUGCAAUAUGGCAUUUCUU